rnacentral:rRNA from 1 species
AGUGAACGCUGGCGGUAGGCCUAACACAUGCAAGUCGAACGGCAGCACAGUAAGAGCUUGCUCUUACGGGUGGCGAGUGGCGGACGGGUGCGGAAUACAUCGGAAUCUACUUUUUCGUGGGGGAUAACGUAGGGAAACUUACGCUAAUACUGCAUAGGACCUACGGGUGAAAGCAGGGGAUCUUCGGACCUUGCGCGAGUGGAUGAGCCUAUGUCGGAUUAGCUAGUUGGCGGGGUAAAGGCCCACCAAGGCGAAGAUCCGUAGCUGGUCUGAGAGGAUGAUCAGCCACACUGGAACUGAGACACGGUCCAGACUCCUACGGGAGGCAGCAGUGGGGAAUAUUGGACAAUGGGCGCAAGCCUGAUCCAGCCAUGCCGCGUGGGUGAAGAAGGCCUUCGGGUUGUAAAGCCCUUUUGUUGGGAAAGAAAAGCAGCAAGUUAAUACCCCGCUGUUCUGACGGUACCCAAAGAAUAAGCACCGGCUAACUUCGUG